rnacentral:rRNA from 1 species
GACGAACGCUGGCGGCGUGCUUAACACAUGCAAGUCGAACGGAAAGGCCCUGCUUUUGUGGGGUGCUCGAGUGGCGAACGGGUGAGUAACACGUGAGUAACCUGCCCUUGACUUUGGGAUAACUUCAGGAACUGGGGCUAAUACCGGAUAGGAGCUCCUGCUGCAUGGGGGGGGUUGGAAAGUUUCGGCGGUUGGGGAUGGACUCGCGGCUUAUCAGCUUGUUGGUGGGGUAGUGGCUUACCAAGGCUUUGACGGGUAGCCGGCCUGAGAGGGUGACCGGCCACAUUGGGACUGAGAUACGGCCCAGACUCCUACGGGAGGCAGCAGUGGGGAAUAUUGCACAAUGGGCGGAAGCCUGAUGCAGCAACGCCGCGUGCGGGAUGACGGCCUUCGGGUUGUAAACCGCUUUCGCCUGUGACGAAGCGUGAGUGACGGUAAUGGGUAAAGAAGCACCGGCUAACUACGUG